AUGGCGACCACGCCGUGGCUGCUGCUUCUCUGCCUCGCCACCGCCGCCGCCUCGAGCGGGGCGCUUCAAGCUCGUGCCCAGCCUGACAACAAAGGUUUCAUAAGCAUAGACUGCGGAUUUCCGGGGACAAGGAGCUACAUAGACAGCACAACCGAGCUCUCCUACGCCCCGGACGCCGCCUUCACCGACACCGGCUCGAGCCACAACAUCUCGGUGGAGUACAUGAAGCCGCAGUUGCUCCUCUCCAAGCGCUACCACGACCUGCGCAGCUUCCCCGACGGCACGCGCAACUGCUAUACGCUCCGGUCCCUGGUGCCCGGGCUCAAGUACCUCCUCCGCGCCACCUUCUUCUACGGAAACUACGACGGGCUCGACAGGAUUCCCAUAUUUGACCUCCACAUCGGGGUCAACUUCUGGAGGGUGGUGAACAUCACAAAUAUGGGAUACGCGCUGCAACUGGAGGCCCUCGUGGUCGUGCCGGACGACUUGGUGCAGGUUUGCCUGAUAAACACCGGCGCCGGGACGCCGUUCAUCUCCGGGCUUGACCUGAGGCCGCUCAAGAAGACGAUGUACCCGCAGGUGACCGCAACGCAGGGCCUGGUGCUGAUGACUAGGCUCAACUUCGGCCCGAGAGACGAUUCUACCUUUGUCAGGUACCCUGAUGAUCCAUACGAUCGAAUCUGGACCCCAUGGAUCAACACUAAAAUCUGGACCGUGAUAUCAACAAAGAAGAGGGUGCAGAGCAUAGACAACGACGUCUUCGAGGCGCCGACAGCGGUCAUGCAGACGGCUAUUAGGCCGCGAGACGUCACCAAGAACAUAGAGUUCUCUUGGGACCCGGAGCCCCAGCCCAACGACCCCUCGCCAGGGUACAUCGCCAUCAUGCACUUCUCCGAGCUGCAGAUACUCCCCAUUAACGCCGUUCGACAAUUCUACGUCAACCUCAACAGCGAGUUGUGGUACCCGAGCGGCUUCACGCCGACCUACCUCUACAUCGGCGCCACCUACAACAACCUCCCCUCCAGGCAUAACCGCUAUAACGUCUCCAUCAACGCCACCAGCAACUCGACGCUGCCGCCGAUCAUCAAUGGUGUGGAGAUUUUCUCCGUCAUCUCCACCACCAACCUUAGCACGUACUCACAGGACGUAUAUGCUAUCAUGGCGAUAAAGACAAAGUAUCAGGUGCAGAAGAACUGGAUGGGUGAUCCGUGCAUUCCAAAGACUAUGGCCUGGGAAAGGUUGACGUGCGGUUAUGAGGUCACAACCCCCCAUAGGAUCAAAGCCGUAGAUUUAUCAGUCACCGGUCUCAGUGGUGAUAUAACAUCUUCUUUCAUAAAUCUCAAGGCUCUCCAGUACUUGAAUCUGUCAAACAACAAAUUGACAGGCUCAAUUCCAGAUGCCCUUUCACAAUUACCUUCAUUGACGGUUAUAGAUUUGUCAGGUAAUCAGCUCAGUGGUUCAAUUCCCCCUGGACUUCUCAAAAGAGUUCAAGAUGGCUCCCUCAAUUUUAGAUAUGAGAACAAUCCAAACAUUUGCGCAAGUGACAAUUCAUGCCAGUCGGCGCCUAAAAGGAACAACAAGCUGGCUAUCUAUAUUGUUGUCCCUCUACUUGUGGUUGUGGUGAUGGUAUCAUUAGCAAUAGUGAUCUUUUUCUUGGUAAGACGAAGACAACAAGUAAAUGGUGACCGUGGGGGCUGUUCAUUGCAACUUGAGAACCGUCGGUUCACCUACAAACAACUUGAUAUGAUAACAAAGGGAUUCAAGAGGAUUCUUGGCCGGGGAGGUUUCGGGAUUGUCUAUCAUGGCUUCCUAGAAGAUGACACUGAGGUGGCCGUGAAAUUGCGAUCUCGUACUUCUAAGCAAGGUGUCAAUGUGUUCCUCGCAGAGGCUCAGAUUUUGACGCAGAUUCACCAUAAGAAUCUUGUCACCAUGAUUGGCUAUUGUAAGGAUGGAAAAGACAUGGCACUUGUGUAUGAGUACAUGUCAGAAGGAACACUACAAGAGCAUAUUAUAGGAAGAGACGAUAAUGGAGAAGGUUUACUGGAUUGGAGACAGAGACUUCGAAUUGCACUUGAAUCUGCCAAAGGGCUUGAGUACUUACACACCGGGUGCAGCCCGCCUCUCAUCCACAUGGACGUGAAGCCCACAAAUAUCCUCCUAAAUGCAAGUCUGGAGGCCAAGAUUGCCGACUUCGGCAUGUCUAAGGCCUUCAAACAUGACAAGGACACACAUGUAUCCACAAACACACUCGUUGGUACCUAUGGAUACGUUGAUCCAGAGUACCUGGCAACAAUGCAACCAACUACAAAGAGUGAUGUGUACAGUUUCGGUGUCGUGUUGCUGGAGUUAGUCACCGGAAGGCCAGCUAUACUGCCAGAGUCUCCGAUGCCCAUCAGCAUCAUCCAUUGGGUGAGGUCCCAGCUAGCUGAGGGCAACAUUGAGAGCGUGGUGGAUGCGUGCAUGCAUGGUUGUUAUGAUGUGAACAGUGUGUGGAAGGUGGCAAACAUCGCUCUGGAGUGCACCGCACAGGUGUCGGUGGAACGUCCCACCAUCAACCACGUGGUGGUGCAGCUCCAAGAGUGCCUUAAGCUUGAGGAUUGCUAUGCAAGGAGUGAUAUGAGUGGCGGCUUGUACAUCGGCAGUGGCAGCCAUGACCCAAACUUGAAUAAUGAAUCUCAGGACAAUGUCACAUCAGAGAUGGAGUAUGUGUCUAGAAGGAUGGCAACAAGGACCACCGAUCCUGUUGCACGUUGA
rnacentral:rRNA from 1 species